CGGAAGGUGGGGGAGGAGUGCGAGGGUCUCUGAGACAGGUUGGGAGCCAGCCCCACCUCCAUUUCCAAAGCGGGGGUCCAGGCACAGGAACAGCCAAACGCCCGAACCAGUGGGGUUACCUUUGCCACUUCAUCCAAUCCGAGCAUCGGAGUAUAAUUUUAAAAAAAGUCACAGAAGAAUGUGGAGACACUUAGCAAACCUGACUCUCAUAAGGUUCCCUAUUUUGUCAGUAAGGAAGUAAACAACCGCUAAAACAACCCUCUAACAACAGAAGACCCUCAUGAGAACACUAGGCAGCAGAAGCUUCUUUAGCAGUAAAAGAUAUCUGGAUAUUCAUAUUUUGUUCCAUGAUCUUUAACAUUAAAUAAAUAAACUUAAUAUUGAA
rnacentral:antisense_RNA from 1 species